GACGAACGCUGGCGGCGUGCCUAAUACAUGCAAGUCGAACGAGAGCGCCCGGUGCUUGCACUGGUCAAUCUAGUGGCGAACGGGUGAGUAACACGUGGGUAACCUGCCCAUCAGAGGGGGAUAACAUCCGGAAACGGAUGCUAAAACCGCAUAGGUCUUCGAACCGCAUGGUUUGAAGAGGAAAAGAGGCGCAAGCUUCUGCUGAUGGAUGGACCCGCGGUGCAUUAGCUAGUUGGUGAGGUAACGGCUCACCAAGGCCGUGAUGCAUAGCCGACCUGAGAGGGUGAUCGGCCACAUUGGGACUGAGACACGGCUCAAACUCCUACGGGAGGCAGCAGUAGGGAAUCUUCCGCAAUGGACGCAAGUCUGACGGAGCAACGCCGCGUGAGUGAAGAAGGUUUUCGGAUCGUAAAACUCUGUUGUUAGAGAAGAACAAGUGCUAGAGUAACUGUUAGCGCCUUGACGGUAUCUAACCAGAAAGCCACGGCUAACUACGUG
rnacentral:rRNA from 1 species